GAUUUGAUUACAGAUUAGAAAAAUUAAGGUUUGAUUUUAUUCUAUAAAUGUUUUCUCACUGGUUCAUGAUGUGUUGAUGACAGCAAUGAGUGAGCAUUGAAUUUGCAAGCACAUAAUUUUCAGAUUCUAUAGGAAUAAAAUUAUCUCCCUUUUAUUUGAAGGUCAGUUUUUCUCCCCACACAAAAAGGAAUUUAUUAGUAAUCAAUGCAGCUCCUCAAGAGAUAGCCAAGGAUCCUUUUUCUUUCAAGACAUGCCUCCUAGGCUAUAAAAAGUUGUACAACUCUUCUGCUUUUUAGCUUGCUUGCUGACCGCUACUGCAGUGUCUGUGUUUUCUUUUUCCUCUUGGCCUUGCCAGCCAUUAUGGUCUGUGUUGCAUUUCAGGCAUUGUCCUUUCAUUUUUCCUCUGAGGGCUGAAAGCCCCAGAAAGAGACUCAACUAAGAAGUGAAAGACUGCAAAGAUGCCCAAGUCACCAGACAAGCCAUGCCAUGAGAGAAUCUGGGGCUCCACAUUAGAGCUGGUCCUUUAUCUCAACAACGUUUCCUCCAACGACAACCUGCACAACCUGGUGUUUAGCCAAGAACCAAGCUGGGCACUGGAAGGUGAUGGUGCAAUUGGACAUUGAGUGUAUCUCUUGCUGGACCAGCACCCAUCCUGGAAUUGCUUUCCUUCCCUGGCUGUCAGUGCCAUUUCCUAAGGUUUGGAUGGUUCUCCAUCCUGCAGGAGUUCAUCCUCACCUCAUGUCUCUCUCUCUGAAUGAUGUCUUUAUCCUUCCCUCUCUCUCCUCUGUGAAUAAUGUCUUUUCUUAUCUCUUCUUCCGUGUAUGUGCAUGGCACGAUGUGAGUCUCCCCUGUGUGCAUGUGUAGUCUGUCCUCCUGCCAGGUCUCCAUGGAGAUCUGGAUGGAGGUCACGUGGCUCAGGUCCUAUUAUGUUCUGGUGGCACUUGGAAGCUGCUUGGCAUCCUCUUCAUCACAUUCUUAGUAUAUAUUAUAAAUCCAUUAUAAUUUUGUUGUCC